GACGAACCACACGAACGUUAUUCGGAAUUACUGGGCUUAAAGGGUGCGUAGGCGGCGCGGUAAGUAGGGUGUGAAAUCCCUCGGCUCAACCGAGGAACUGCGCUCUAAACUACCGUGCUUGAGGGGGGUAGAGGUGAGCGGAACUUAGGGUGGAGCGGUGAAAUGCGUUGAUAUCCUAAGGAACACCGGUGGCGAAAGCGGCUCACUGGAUCUCUUCUGACGCUGAGGCACGAAAGCUAGGGUAGCGAACGGG
rnacentral:rRNA from 1 species